rnacentral:misc_RNA from 1 species
GAUCUUUUUAAAUUUUAUACAGAAUGAAACCAAUCGCAGAAAUUAUCAUGUCAAAAUUUACUAUUAGUUUCUCUUAUAAGUGUAGUUUUGUCUAAUAAGCCAAACAAUAGAUUAUAUGAAUAGACUCAUAACAAGAGUAAUUACAGGAACUAAUAAUAAGAGAAUAAAUAAAUCGAAAUGAACCUGUCAAAAUUUCUAAAACCAAAACUAAAAAGCAUCAGCUCCUUCAAUUUUUCAGUUUGGAUCAAAUAAUGUUCAAUCUCUAGUCCUGCAGGCAUACUGCCAAUCUGGCUAAUCAUAAUCUCAAAAUUCUGGCUACAACAUUGACAUUCAUUGUCCAAGCCAGAAAGACUCACCAAAUCAACAGUCAAAAUGCAGCAGAAAAACUUCCGCUGAAAUGCUCACGACACCAAAGCUCUCAAAAACCCAUAUCAAUCCAGAACAUUUCACAAAGGUAAAAAUUAUCAUUCGUUGCUCAAAAAUUUCCGUCAAAUCUAGUUUAUUGCAGCAGUGCUAGUAUAACAAAUGGUAAAAAAAAAACAGAGCUCUAUGGGCCUACCCAACUGACUGAUCCAUCCCUUAAGAUUUCCCAAGCAAUUGAUGUUCAGAACCUUUAGGAAAAUAAAAUAGACAUUGAAGUCCAUUACUCUAUAGCCACAUGAU